GAUGAACGCUGGCGGCGUGCCUAAUACAUGCAAGUCGAGCGAACGGACGAGAAGCUUGCUUCUCUGAUGUUAGCGGCGGACGGGUGAGUAACACGUGGAUAACCUACCUAUAAGACUGGGAUAACUUCGGGAAACCGGAGCUAAUACCGGAUAAUAUUUUGAACCGCAUGGUUCAAAAGUGAAAGACGGUCUUGCUGGCACUUAUAGAUGGAUCCGCGCUGCAUUAGCUAGUUGGGAAGGUAACGGCUUACCAAGGCAACGAUGCAUAGCCGACCUGAGAGGGUGAUCGGCCACACUGGAACUGAGACACGGUCCAGACUCCUACGGGAGGCCACCGUCGGGACUCUUCCUCCGAGGGCGCGCGCCUGCCGGCGCCCCGCCGCGUGCGUGCUGCCGGUCUUCGGAUCGUAAAACUCUGUUAUUAGGGCCGCCCCUCUGUGUCCGUCGCUGUGCCCAUCUUGCCGGUCCCUCCUCCGCCCGCCCCGGCUCCCUACGUG
rnacentral:rRNA from 1 species